GACGAACCGUCCAAGCGUUAUUCGGAUUCACUGGGCUUAAAGGGUGCGUAGGCGGCUCAGCAAGUAGGGUGUGAAAGCCCUCGGCUCAACCGAGGAAUUGCGCCCUAAACUACUGGGCUUGAGGAACGCAGGGGUAAGCGGAACUUACGGUGGAGCGGUGAAAUGCGUUGAUAUCGUAAGGAACACCAGGAGCGAAAGCGGCUUACUGGGCGUUUUCUGACGCUGAGGCACGAAAGCCAGGGGAGCGAACGGG
rnacentral:rRNA from 1 species